CACACGGAAAAUUUGAGUUAGUCUCAAAAUGUGUUGCGAAUAUACCUUCAUCACAACUAUUCGAUUGUUGCUCAAAACUUGUAUAUCCCCAAUUCAAUUUUGGGUAAUUUUGGGCUCCCAAUAUACAGAAUUGAACUAAAACUCAAUUACUCUACUCUGUGUAAAAAGUUUGCUGUUGUUGGAAUUUUAUUGCAAGGGAUGUGGAAGCGAAAAAGAAAAAAAAUUAAAAACUUUUUGCUAAUAGAAAAAAAAUUAAUCAAACAAUUUAUAUUGAAAUCCAUUAAAAUGAGAUAUAAACUGAAACUUUUUGAUGUAGAAUAUGUCGUAUGAGCUUCGGAAAUUGGUUCGUCAAAACAAAAAUCACAUCAGGAUGGUGGAGCUGUCUGAUUUGCAUAUGGAAAUAACCGACGGAAAAGGCGGAAAAGGAGCUACUGUUAUCUUGUUCUGCAUGGGCUACUUCCGUUGAUUAGAUAAACUGGACAAGCUGGACAGAUCGGCAUUGGAGAAAAUUUCCAUAUCAGGUUUUCUGGAAACGGUUGGAAGCUAGUCUUAGUGUCGUUGAUCAGGAACCGGUGUUGUUGAGCAGAGUGGAGAAACAAAAUUACUUUACCCGGAUCAUACUCAUUGUUCGGGAUGGUUAAUCCGACAAUCGAAACAGGUUAAAAAAUCAACCCAGAAGACCUCAUCGAAGAGGUCGCCUUCUUUAGAACCUCGGCGGAUGUGCAUCGGAUACUUCUGCCGAAACGGGAAAUUCCUUGCAAGCUUGAGAGAACGAAUGUUUUAUUUUGGUCACCUCAUCGAAACUGUUCCAACAGAUGCUUUGUACCCUCCUGACAUCCAGGUUGGUCAUAUAGGCACGAAUCAGUACCGGAUGUUGAGACGGAUGCCCUCUUAGAAGAAUUAUUGAGGUAUUGAAUUUGUUGCCAACUGCAAUGAAAAACUACAUUUCGGAACCAGGAUUGUAUUGGAUUGACAAUAAAUAUUU